GCCCCAGUAGCUCAGUGGAUAGAGCAAAUGUUUUCUAAACAUUAGGUCGCAGGUUCGAGUCCUGCCUGGGGUACCA
rnacentral:tRNA from 1 species